UCUCAUAAUCUUGUUCUAUUCUUCAUCUUCUUGUUCUUUCUUUGUACUAAGUUUUUCUCCGAGUUCCAUAAUAUAUAACCCUAUAAUUUCCAUCACUUUUUAUUGAAUUAUUUGUGUAUCAAUUUUCAUUCAAUAGUGUUUAGUAGAAUGAUAUCCUUUUCUUUUUCUAUUCCUUUAGUUCAAUCUAUUUACUAAUAUAUGUCAUUGCUCAAAUCCAAUUACUUGUCCUUUUUUUUUUUUUUUUUAAUAUUUUUCAAUUUGCAUCUGUACUCUAAUUUUUUUUAUUGAAAACUCUUGACAUUCUUCUUGUCUUUUUAAUAAAACCAUCAUAUUUUUCUAGGAUUCAUCCUCUUAUUAAUAGUAGUGCAGCCAAUAGGCUUAGAGGCAACCAUUUCUUCUUUGGCUUCCUUAUUAUAGUUAAGCAAGAGAAGAGUUUUCUUAAGAAGAAAUCAUGGUUCAAGUGGUUGAUGCUUGGUGACUCUAAUAUUGUUUUCUUCCAUAGAUCGAUGAGGGCCUAGUAGAGUCGCAAUUCUAUCUAUGGUCUUUUUAACAUUAAAGUCUCCUUCAAUUCUGACCUUGGUGAGGUUUUAUUUAUUUAUUUAUUUUUUAAACCACUUUCAGAUCAGUUUAAUGCUCCCAUUCUUAACCCCAUUCAUCCUAUUCCAGAUAAUAUUUCCUUUCUAAUGUCAAUCCCGAUAUCGAGAGGACCCUGCCUUCUAUUUCCUCUGAGGAAGAGAUCUUGACUGACAUCAAAGGUUAGAGAUCUGAUUAUGCUCCGAGUUUGGAUGGCAUUAGCUUUGGAUUUUUCCUUGCGUCUUAAGAUAUUGUUUAGGAUGGCCUAAUCUAGGCAGAUCAUAGAUUCUUUUUUAAUACUUCUAAGGUUACUUGAAUUAAUCUGACUUUAAUCUGCCUUGUUCCUAAGCAUGAGGGCGCUGAUUUGGUUACUUCUUUUUGUCUCAUUUCUCUUUCUAAUCUCCUUUAUAAGUUUACUACCAAGAUCAUGCAAAUCGGCUAAAGUUGGUUACUGAUAGUCCUUUUAGCCAUAAUUAGGCUGCUUUCAUCCCUGGGAGGAAUAUUAUUUACUGACAUAUUCUCUUAUGUCAUGAAAUUGUUAGGAGCUCUGAUAGGAAGAAUCAUCCUCCCUCUAUCCUCCUCAAGCAUCCAUAAAGCAUUUGAUUCUAUUAGGUGUGAUUAUAUUAGUUAAAUUCUUGCGAAGAUGGACUACGCUCCUAAUUUUAUCAAUUAGAUUCAUUGUUAUAUCCCUUCUUCUAAAAUUGUUGGGAUUCUCAAACUUGUCUGGAAGAUUGCUUCCGGGAGCAAGAGCGUUUGGGUUGAUUGUGUGUAUUCUAGAUACCUCAAAUCUAACUCCAUAUAGAAUGCCCCUAUUCCUAUUUAUGCUUCUUGUGCUUGGAAUAAAAUUCUUAAGUAUCAAUUCCUUGUUUCUGAUACUAUCUAGUCUUCUAUUGGUGCCGCCAUUGGCACCUUGGUUCGGCUUGAUAGUUGGCAUUCUAAUUUUGUGUUAAUACUAAAAUAUGGUGACCGAAUUAGUUGUGUCUUCCCUUUUAAGAUACGACCACUGGAUCCCAGGUCCAAGAAACUUAAAUUCUCUUAUUAAAGUAUGGGAUAAGUUUCUAAGGGUGUGCUUGAGCUAGAGGUAGCGGGAAUAUUAUUAGGUAAGUAGCCAAUUUAUGAGAAAGUUUUCUCCCUUUUAUGCUUUGAAUUUGGUAAGAUCGAGUGCUCUUUUUGUUCCUUAGUUUAGACUAUUUUGGGUUAGAUCUUCCAUUCCUAGGGGUUGCUUUACUUUUUUGAGAGUUAUGACUAAUUCUUUACCUACUCAGGAGUUUCUUUCUCAAUCUUUCAAUUCCUAAUUGUUGCCUUUUUUGGAAUUCGAUUGAAAGUGUCGAUCGUUUGUUCUUUGAUUGUCCUUUCACAAAUUUUGUAUGGAAUUUCUUAGGAAAUGCUAGCCUACUCCAAGAGUUAUCUUUCUAAAAAAUUUCAACGGCAAAUCAACAUGUGAUAUCCUUAGUAAGUUAGCAUUUAAGGUAGUGAUUCAUCAUAUCUGGUGGGAAAGGAAUUUGAGGAGAUGGUAUACUUGGUAGUUUGUAUUUAUUUUACCGUUAUUUUUUUGGUUUAAUAUUAUCAUUAUUAUAAUAUCACUUACACUAUUGAAGCUAUUCCAUUUUACUGCAGGAAGUUCUCAAAAUGCAAAAUUCGUUGUUUUUGUAGAAGAAAAAGAUGGAAGAAUAGGCCAGAUCAUAAAUAAAAUCAUAGAAUCAAAAAGCAUAAUAAAGAAGUGUUUCCAUCGGAUCAACGAUUUACCAUACUGCCCAGCAUCAAUGGCUCUCUUCUCCACAGACGUUCAUCAAGGCUUUUCCCUUCGUGUACACGCAGUGCCAAUCCAUACAUGCCCGUUCUAUAUUUCCCUGUCAAGACACCCCUGCUGCACGCCUUUGUUACUCAGCUCGCCUCAAUGUGCCUCAGCAGUUGUCUGGCCGUGAUGUCUGCACGGCAUGGCGAACGCAAAGCACCAGUCUCUGGUGAGGCUGCAAUGGCCUGUGACGAUGCGUUGUGGUGUGCUGAAAGAAGGAUGGUGGAGGAAUUCCCUAUGGAGCAGCCUAUACUGCCUUACUUGUUUGCGUUUGCAGUGGGAGAGCUUGGCUUUAGAGACGUUUGGUCCAGAACGAGGGUCUAUGCCGAGUCGGUGCCUGCAGUUCUGGAUGGGGCUGCGAGGGAGUUUGAGAGGACAGAAGACAUGACUAGGCAUGGGGAGAAGCUGUUCGGGCCUUACGAGUGGGAGAAGUUCGACCUACUUGUGUUGCCUCCGAGCUAUGCUUACGGAGGCAUGGUAAAUCCAAGGAUGGAGAGAUUGGGAACGCAGUGAAGUGCCUUGAAGCCAUUUGUCAGAGCCAAGUGUAGCUCCUGGCCAUCGUCAAAAUUAAGACUCGCCUCCGCAUAGCGACACUUCUUCUGAAGCACACCAACAAUGGUAAUCAUGUUAAUCAGAAAAUGACUAUUAUUGAUAUAUCAGAAAAUAAUACAGAGAAUGAAUGAGACAUACUAUUGAGUCAUAGAUCCACCUUCGACAUAGUCAUCAGCAGAGAAGCAAUUCGAUCAAAUAAGAAAAAACACUUAGAAAAAUUUGUAUUGAGAUCUCAGUUGAGAAUUCCAGUCGAUAUCAUGAAGAGUUCCACCACUGGUUGAAGA